CCUACGGGAGGCAGCAGUGGGGAAUAUUGCACAAUGGGCGCAAGCCUGAUGCAGCCAUGCCGCGUGUGUGAAGAAGGCCUUCGGGUUGUAAAGCACUUUCAGCGGGGAGGAAGGCGUUAAGGUUAAUAACCUUGUCGAUUGACGUUACCCGCAGAAGAAGCACCGGCUAACCCCGUGCCAGCAGCCGCGGUAAUACGGAGGGUGCAAGCGUUAAUCGGAAUUACUGGGCGUAAAGCGCACGCAGGCGGUCUGUCAAGUCGGAUGUGAAAUCCCCGGGCUCAACCUGGGAACUGCAUUCGAAACUGGCAGGCUAGAGUCUUGUAGAGGAGGGUAGAAUUCCAGGUGUAGCGGUGAAAUGCGUAGAGAUCUGGAGGAAUACCGGCGGCGAAGGCGGCCCCCUGGACAAAGACUGACGCUCAGGUGCGAAAGCGUGGGGAGCAAACAGGAUUAGAUACCCCGGUAGUC
rnacentral:rRNA from 1 species